UAAUAAUCUAUGUUUCUUUUUUAUUUAAAGUAAAAAUAUACUUAUUAUGUCAUAUUUAUGUCAUCGAGUUCGAUAAAAUAAAAAUAUUAAUUAAAUAAAAUAUUGUUUGUACCCAAGUAGGAACCUACUCAUUGUGUGUCUAAUAUAAAAAUACAAAUUUUAUUUUAUUAGUUUAUAUUACCUAUAGAGGUACAAAUUUAGAUUUCUAACGUCAAAAUCCGUCAGAAAAUAAAAUAUAUAUGGGGCCCAGCAAAAUUCUGCAUCGGGCCCCGAAAUCUAUCGGUCCGGCACUGUUGUCAUCGUUAAAACGACAUCAAUCGCAGAUAUUUAUGAUCCAAUGCAAAACAGAUGGCCUGUUGUUUAUGCCGAUAUUAAAUAUUUUGCAAGAGCUGGAGCUUAUUACCAAAAAUAACACCUUAAAAUGUGCUAAAGGAUCCUUUUGUAAGUUGUGUUCGUCGAUUACAAGUUCUGGUGAUGGUUUUGUUUGACUAUGCAGAGAAUAUUAUACCAAUGACCAUAAACAAUAGUUAAAUGCAAUGUUCCUCGAUCAAUUCGAAAGUAAACAUUUCUUUUUCUUAAUCGCACUUAUCCAUACAUAAACUUGUGACGUUUGGUUAUUUGUGGACCGUAAAGGUGUCCCUUGAAUUUAUUUCACAUCAGCUAAAUAUGACUAAUCAGUCGUGAGUCGAUUGGGCAUCCUUCUGUCGAGAAGUCGUAUUCAACGGCAUGAUUCUUUGGCGCCAAAAACUCGGUAAGCGGAAAAUUACUCAAUUUUUUCAAAAUAUUCUCUUUACGUGUGGGCGGCGAAUGAAAAGUAGUAGAAAUAGAUGAAUCGAAAUUCGGUAGACGGAAAUACACAUAGGGAACAUCGCGUUGAAGGCUAAUGGGUAUUUGGUGGAGGUUAACCGGACACGGAUCGGUAUUUCCUAGUACCCGUGGAGAAACUACGCGACAAAUACACGUUGUUAAUAAUUUUGGAUUUUUCCGGGAACUGUAAUCAUUAGUGAUCGUUGGAAAGUAAGCUCAACAAAAGAUGUAUGUUUAAACGCUUUUUCCCUAACAAAACAUCAUUUCAAACGUUUCAGAGUUAUGACUGUUUGAAG